GAUGAACGCUGGCGGCGUGCCUAAUACAUGCAAGUCGAGCGAACGGACGAGAAGCUUGCUUUUCUGAUGUUAGCGGCGGACGGGUGAGUAACACGUGGAUAACCUACCUAUAAGACUGGGAUAACUUCGGGAAACCGGAGCUAAUACCGGAUAAUAUUUUGAACCGCAUGGUUCAAAAGUGAAAGACGGUCUUGCUGUCACUUAUAGAUGGAUCCGCGCUGCAUUAGCUAGUUGGUAGGGUAACGGCUUACCAAGGCAACGAUGCAUAGCCGACCUGAGAGGGUGAUCGGCCACACUGGAACUGAGACACGGUCCAGACUCCUACGGGAGGCAGCAGUAGGGAACCUUCCGCAAUGGGCGAAAGCCUGACGGAGCAACGCCGCGUGAGUGAUGAAGGUCUUCGGAUCGUAAAACUCUGUUAUUAGGGAAGAACAUAUGUGUAAGUAACUGUGCACAUCUUGACGGUACCUAAUCAGAAAGCCACGGCUAACUACGUG
rnacentral:rRNA from 1 species